GACGAACGCUGGCGGCGUGCUUAACACAUGCAAGUCGAACGGAAAGGCCCUGCUUUUGUGGGGUGCUCGAGUGGCGAACGGGUGAGUAACACGUGAGUAACCUGCCCUUGACUUUGGGAUAACUUCAGGAAACUGGGGCUAAUACCGGAUAGGAGCUCCUGCUGCAUGGUGGGGGUUGGAAAGUUUCGGCGGUUGGGGAUGGACUCGCGGCUUAUCAGCUUGUUGGUGGGGUAGUGGCUUACCAAGGCUUUGACGGGUAGCCGGCCUGAGAGGGUGACCGGCCGCGGCGGGAAGGAUAAACAGGCGGGACGCCUGCUGGAGGCAGCAGUGGGGGAGAGUGCACAAGGGGCGUAAGCCGAAUGCAGCAACGCCGCGUGCAGGAGGGCGGCCGGCGGGAGGGAACCCGCGAGCACCGGGGACCAACCUUGAGGAGGCCGAAUGUGGAAAGAGAGAACCGCGAGCCUCACC
rnacentral:rRNA from 1 species